AACAGGAUAAACCCGUCUCUGUGGCAAAAGAGUGGGAAGACCUUGCAGUAGUGGUGAAAAGCCAAACGAGCCUGGUGAUAGCUGGUUGCUCAACAAACGAAUUUUAGUUCAACUCUAGACUAUAGAUCCAAACAUAAGCCCACCUACCAGCCUAGAAGUUACUCAAUGAAGGUACAACUCCAUUGAGCUGGGAUACAACCCAAACUAGCGAGAAAGGAAAGAUACCUUACCAGUAGGCCUUAAAGCCGCCACCAAUAAUAAAAGCGUCAUAGCACAAUAACAGUAAAUCUCAUAAAUACCACCAACCUCCUAGCAAAACAUUGAGCUAAACUAUAAUUAUAGUAAAACUUAUGCUAAAACUAGUAACAAGAAACCUUCUCUUGGCACCCCCGUAACCCAGAAAUAGAAAAACUACUGGACUUUAACAAACCACAACAGGUAAAACACAGCAAAUGUAGCAUAAAUUGUUAAACCAACACCGGAGUACCACAAAGACAGAUUAAAAGUUAUAUAAGGAACUCAGCAAACCUUGUCCCAACUGUUUACCAAAAACAUAGCCUUUAGCAAUACAAGUAUUAAAGGUCCCGCCUGCCCAGUG
rnacentral:rRNA from 1 species